GGAGGGGAGAAAUACGGUAAGACGGUAAGAUAGGUUUGUGUUUGACAUAAAUAUAUUCACAUUAGAGGAGAGAAAUCUGGUCAGGCGGGCUCAGGUUUGACAUAAAUAUCUACAUUUUAGAUGGGGGGGGGGGGCAAUACGGUAAGGCAGGUUCCCUUUGACAUAAUCAUCUACAACUUGGAGGAGGAAAACAAACGAUAGGCCGUGCUCGUGUUUGACAUCAAUAUUUGGAGGGCAGAAAAACGGUAAGACAGGCUCAUGUUCGAAAUGUACAUAUACACCACGUAAAUGCGAAAAUACGGUAAAGCAAGCUCGUGUUUGACAUGCACAUCUACAUCUUCAUAGGAGUAAACACGGUAAGGCAGGCUCAUGUUUAAUAUGCACAACUACAUCACGACGGAGGAAACACAGUAAGGCGCGCUCGUGAUUAAUAUGCACAACUACACAACGAAGGGGGAACACGGUAUGGCACACUCGUGUUUAACAUGCACAACUAAACCAUGAAGGGGGAAUCACGGUAAGGCACGUUCGUGUUAAACAUGCACAACUACACCACGAAGGGGGAAUCUUGGUAAGGCACGCUCGUGUUUAACAUGCACAACUACACCAUGAAGGGGGAAUCACGGUAAAGUGGGCUCGUGUUUAACAUGCACAACUACACCACGAAGGGGGAAUCACGGUAAAGCGGGCUCGUGUUUAACAUGCACAACUACACCAAGAAGGGGGAAUCACGGUAAAGCGGGCUCGUGUUUAACAUGCACAACAACACCACGAAGUGGGAUUUACGGUAAGGCACGCUCGUGUUUAACAUCCACAACUACACCACAAAGGGGGAAUCACGGUAAGGCACGAUCGUGUUUAACAUGCACAACUAAACCACGAAGGGAGGACACGAUAAGGCGGGCUCAUGGCUGACAUGUACUACUACACCACGAAGGAGGAAAUACGGUAAAGCGGGCUUGUGUUUGACAUGCACAACAAUACCACGAAGGGGGAACACGGCAAGGCGGGCUUAUGUCUGACAUGCACUACUACACCACUAAGGAGGAAUCACGGUAAAGCGGGCUUGUGUUUGACAUGCACAACUACACCAUAACGGGGGAACACUGUAAGGCAGGCUCAUGUUUAACGUGCACAACUUCACCUCGGAAGGGAACCAUGGUUAGGCGGACUCGUGUGCACAUCAUGGAGGGAAAAUGGUAAAGCAGGAUGAUAUAAAACGUUGCAAGGCGUACAUCUACACCUCCGAAGAUUAAAACGUCAAGGCGGGCUCAUGUUCGACAUGUAUUUUAACACGUCCGAAGGUGAAAAACUGUAAUUCAGGCUAGUUUUUUACAUAAAUAUUUCCACAUCGGAGAGGGUAAAUACGGUAAGGCAGUCUCGUGUUCGAAAUGCACACAUACAUUUCGUAGGAUAUAAUACGGUUGGGCGGAAUCGUGUAUGACAUGUAUAUCCAUACCUCCAAGGGUAAAAUAUGAUAAUGCAGGCUCAAGUUCGAAAUGCUCAUCUUAUACAUCUGAGUGUUAACUAUGAUAAGGCUGGCUAGUGUUCGUCAUGCACCCCCUUAACCUCCGAUGAUUAAAAACGGCAAGGCGGACUCAUGUGCAACCUGCAUAUCUAAAUUUCCGAGGGUAAAAAACAACAGUUAGGCGGGUUAAUGUUCGACAUGCACAUCAACAUACCCGAGGGUAAAAAAUGGCAAAGCGGGCUCAUGUCCGACAUGCAAAUAUGAAUCAUCGAGUGUUAAAACGGUCAGUCUGGCUGAUGUUCGACAUACACAUCUACAUCUUCGAGGGUUAAAAACGGUAAAGCGGGCUCAUGUCCGACAUGCAAAUCUGAAUCUUCGAGGGUUAAAACGGUCAGUCGGGCUGAUGUUCGACAUGCACAUCUACAUCUCCGAGGGUUAAAAACGGUAAUUCGUGCUCAUGUUCCACAUUCACAUCUACAUCCCGUAGGUAAAAAUGGCAAGGUUGGCUCAUGUUCGACAUCCACAUCUACAUCCCGUUGGUAAAAAACGGUAAGGUUGGCUCAUGUUCGACAUGCACAUCUACAUCUCCGAGCGAUAAAAAAGGUUAGGUGAGUUCAUGUUCGACAUCCACAUCUACAUCCCGUAGGUAAAAUAAUGGUAAGGUUGGCUCAUAUUCGACAUGCACAUCUACAUCUCCGAGGGUUAAUAACGGUAAGGUGAGCUCAUGUUGGACAUGCACAUCUGCACCUCUGAGGGUAAAAAACGAACUUACUACUAUCUGCACAAACCAAAUAACAUUAUAAAUCAUAGAGUUUUGUCCGUCUGGCGUGAAACCUGCCGGGAUUGCCAUCGAAACUGAGUUAAAGAGUCUGGACACCAACCUGGAUCCCGUGUUACAGAAGUUGUCUGCCGACAUAAACGAUAUAUUUGACCACAUUGUGAGACCAAAGAUAGAGGAGGGAGCGUCCAGUGCCUCUGCGAAGGCUAGAAAUACAUGUGCCAAGUGGGGUGCGCCAUCUAUUCGAGAUAGAACAAGGAACAGGAGUGAAGGAGGUCUGAGUUGUCCAACCUACAAAGCCACCACCCGUCGGAAUGGGGAGUUUACCUCACCCACAUUUGGACAAUUUGAUUUCAAUGAGGACCUUGCUGCACCUAUGUAUCGGAACAUGCCCAUUGUCUGGAAUACGGUAUUCAGUGGGAGGCUGUCGCAGGUGAUGGAGGGACUGAAGAUUGACAUCAAGGACCUUAUAGAGGACUUCACUGGCAAGCUACCGAGUCAGCUUGAGUUCCUUGGGAUUGACGUCAUCCGGACUGACAGCCUCGCUACGCAGGCCAUUCGCUCUGCAAAGAACAAGAUUGGCUGGCAUCUAUUUGUCUCCCAGAGUUUAUUUAUGAUAAGGAUAAGGUUUUUUUAGAUUUAAACAGCCUUAUUCCUGGCGUCAACAGUCAGUAUGUUCGUAUGAGUGAUAUGAAAUUGCGAUAAUGCCAGAAAGCACUGUACCAUAACUAUCAACUAUGUUGCAUACUACCUUAUCCUAAUAACCCUACAAUAGUUAUCAGACAUGUAACCAAAAUCAGGAAACAGUUAAAGUUUUGACGAAGUAAUUUAAACUCGCAAGUUUACUCACGACUUGUUCAGUAGCUUAAAGUGCUCCAAGCAGAUCUGAAUUUUCACCUUUAGGUUUACUUUCCUUUAACCACCUCCGCAUUUUAAGCUGACGGAGAUGGUAAGCAAGCUGAAGGAUUUGGUCACGACUCGGCAGAAGGACAUUUCCCGCAUUGUGACGCCCCACAUCAAGACAAAGAUGCUUGACGUGUUGACGUGUAUAGGCGGUGUGCAGCUGACUCUGGCAAGGGGGUAUUUGACCGCAUGAAGGCGUACAUGGCCCAGGGUAUCGACAACGAGCGCGGCUCCAUGUUUGAUGAGGCAAAACAGAUGCUCAUGGAACAACUGAAUAAACUGCGGACGGAACUAGUUCAGUUUGUUAAGGGUGUGACAGUCUGUCUUAUCACAGACUUGAGGUGGGGUUUCGAACCCCUGUGGAAGGCUACAUCUAAGUCAUUGGUCGCGCCACAGGCAUUUGCAAAAGUUCUUGAUGAGUUCUCAGACAAAAUGCGAGUCAUUGACCGAGAAGCUGGUAUUCCGAACACAGAAGAAGGGCACAUAAUCCCUUUCCCCACACAGGAACACCCUAUUGGUGCUGCCCAGCGGUCCGGAGGUGUUAUCGCUAUGGCUGGGGACCAGGGGGAUUCCACAGUUGCAAGGCCACCGGAGUGGCAGACAUACACGGUUACAAUUUACAAAUAGGAAGACACUUCGUAUGACACAGCAAGCACUGAGGCAUCCCUUAUGACAAUUGGACAACAGACUGGAAAUGACUUUUAUCAAGAUUCUAUGGAGGAAAGCCGCUUGGAGGUUGUUAAAUCUAGCCCAGCGACCGUGUCACUACAACCUAACACAGAAUCCGAUGAAACAGCUACGUUUUCCGGACCACCAGCAAAAAAGUUAAAACGGGAGAAAAGUCACAUUGCCGACCAGCAGACUUCUAGCCAACAGGUAUCAAGCCCAUAUUCGACCAGGAUGAUCAAGUUAACAAAGAAGUACUGUAGCCAACAUGCCCCAAGUGGAAGGAAAGGCAAGGGGCCGGGGAAAGGGAACGGAAAGACGAGCAGCCUGUCGCUCAGGCCCAUACAAACUACACAAACUGUCACUGUAAAAACAAAACCACCAGACACGGGAUACUCCGCAUGGUUCAAUGAGCUAUUUUCAGAUGACGAAGAAGAAACAAAUCUAUUACACAGAACAAAACCACCAGACACGGGAUACUCCGCAACGCUCAAAGAGGAAUUCUCAGAAGACGAAGAAGAACCAAAUCUAUGACACACAACAUGAAUACGAACCGUGAAAAGUCAUUAAAUGUAUGGAAAAGACUAAAGAAUAUGUGUGAUGUGAUACAACAUACGCGAUUGAUAUUUGGCUGCUGUGUACAGUAUAGACAUACCACGUGUGUUGUAACGCCACAUUUGGUUACUGAAAAAUACCUCUCGAUUCAGAUAGUUUUAUCGCUGUAAGUUCGUUAUUUCAUAUCAAGUUGUACACAACAUAGCACAGGCUAAGGGAAAAAAUGUUCACUAUACUCGGUUACUGAUCGAUAUGUUGAACAAAUUUUAUUGUAUUUUUUAUUUAUCAUCUAUAUGUCUUUUAAUUUCUUUAAAAGAUACCGAUGCUCAAAUCUACUGUUUUUGCAAAUAUUUAAUAGAAAACGUGUUUUAAUCAAGCUCAUGGCAAGAAGGAGAGAGUUUGACUGUUGUGCCUCCGAGAAAAAUGCUUUCUUACUAUAACCAAAUAGUUUUUGCUUUUUUAAUAACAUAAUAUGAGCAUCCUUGGUAGGUAUAAAUAUACCCUGUUUAUAGAAUAUGCAAUCCGAGACUUCUAUUUUAAAGGCAAACAUGGUGAAUAUAAAUAUAAACAUAUUUUUUCACCAGCAACGUAAUUUGCUUUUCGCUAUAACAAACAAUAUUUUAUACACUAUGAACAUUGACCGCUAUUUUUGAAAAAAAUAUAUAUUGCUUAACAUAUUACUCAGUAACCGAGUAUAGCGUGUAUUUUUCCUUGGCCAUCGCCAUGUUUUUUAAAAAUUGGAAAGAAAAUAAUAAACUUACAGCGAUAAUACUAUCUGAAUCGAGAGUAAGUUUGCUUCCUGUAAUAAAUGUGACGUCACAAACCACAUGGUAUAUUCACACUGUGUGUACGAGCUUAAGGCGGUCUUGCUCAUGGUAAAUCUGUUGCAAGCGCCUGGUGGUUGGACAACCCAUUACAAUAGAAGACAUGACUAGCAAAAGUAGUUCUUGAUAAUAUGAUUUCGUAGCUUGCUGUUGAUUUCACAAAUUGCUUGUUGCAGUAUAUCUUUAGUGAUCUUAAUAUUAUAGUUGCUGUCAAUGUUAUGAUGUAGAUAAAAGUAAGAAAUGUUGUUUUUAUAGUGUUAAUACUUCUGCAACAUUUUAUGUUAAGUGUGCUUUUAUCACUGUAAAUUGUUUGAUUUUUUUAUAUUUUCUUUGUAAAGAACAAUAUUGAAUGUACAUGUGAUUUAACCCAUUUCUUUCAAAUGAAUGAAUGUGAACACUUUGAAUCCACAAGUGAUUUAACACACUUCUUACAUUUGAAUGUAUGUGAACACUUGGAAUGCACAUGUGAUUUAACCCACUUCUUACAACUGAAUGAAUAUGAACACUUGCAAAGCAGACAUGCCCUUCUUAUUUUAGUUUCAUGGUCCUACUGAUUUUUUGUCCAAUGAUAUAUCAAUGGUCAAACAGUGGUACUCAUUUUUUGCUGAUAUUGUUUAAUUAGUAUGGUUUAUUUCAAUGUUAUUAUACUUCUAAUAGGAUGUUGAUUAGUUUUUUUUUCUUUAACGCUUUAGUUUCAGCAUAUAAUGAAAUCACGCGAUUAAUUUCCAGUUAAAUCAGUUCUAUCAUUCUUCAGAAGUAAUGCUUUGAACUGUUAAAAAUAUUAUUUAGGUUAUAAUUCACCACAGGUUUUUUUCAAGAUUUAAUUGUUGUUUAUUUUGUUCAUUAAUCGUUACUUAGUAUGUGGUCUUAAUUCGGUAUAGAUUGUUGCGGCUUUUCCAAAUAUAAUUGUGUAAUUUUGUGUUGUAUAUUAAACUUGUACCCGCCAAAUACAAAAGCGCUUCGAUAGAUUCCUUAUUUAUUAUUAUUUGCUGUAAAUUGUUUAUUGUAUAAAUAGAAGGCGUUGCGUUUUGCACAAGUAGCUUACAAAACAAGUACCAUGUUGGUUAAGAAAGCAAAUUUGAGUAUACAAUAAUUUACUUGAAUCAAUCUGUUUACUAAUAAAACUGUUUAGAAACGCAUUCCGCAGUAUUUCAAAAAUAUAUAUACAUUCGCAGUUUAACAUUAAACUAUAAAAACGUUAAACAUUACGACAUAUAUGUGAGUAUAUCGUACUCCUGCGACUUUUUCAGCGAUUGAUACUGCUACAAUAAAUUUGGUCAUAAUAUUUAUGAGGAUUUUAAGUUUGUAGAAUAUAUCUGAUAUCAAUGUUGAUACUUCAUUGAUAGAAUAUAGAGUUUUAUAAGAAGUAUUUUUCUUCCAACAUAUAUUGUUGAAAUGGCGUGUAUUGAUCAAUACAGACAAAACCAAGAGAAUCCAUUUCCGAAAGGGGCGGACAUCUGCGACAUCACUCGAAUUGGUAAUAAAUUGUUUAAAGUUGUUGACACUUACAAAUACAUGGGGUCAUCUUUCAAUCUAAAGGCGAUUUCACAAACAACGCGGACGCAUUGGCGAAGGGCGCCAGAAGAGCCUGGGGAAGCAUUAUUCAAAGCAUAAUUUAUACUUUUGUUAUGUUAUAAUGUAUGUGUAUGAUCAUGAUUGUAUAUAGCGCAUGUCACGUCAAUAAAUAUAUACUCAUUUA